rnacentral:rRNA from 1 species
AACAGGAUUAGAUACCCUGGUAGUCCACGCCGUAAACGAUGUCGACUUGGAGGUUGUUCCCUUGAGGAGUGGCUUCCGGAGCUAACGCGUUAAGUCGACCGCCUGGGGAGUACGGCCGCAAGGUUAAAACUCAAAUGAAUUGACGGGGGCCCGCACAAGCGGUGGAGCAUGUGGUUUAAUUCGAUGCAACGCGAAGAACCUUACCUACUCUUGACAUCCAGAGAACUUAGCAGAGAUGCUUUGGUGCCUUCGGGAACUCUGAGACAGGUGCUGCAUGGCUGUCGUCAGCUCGUGUUGUGAAAUGUUGGGUUAAGUCCCGCAACGAGCGCAACCCUUAUCCUUUGUUGCCAGCGGUUCGGCCGGGAACUCAAAGGAGACUGCCAGUGAUAAACUGGAGGAAGGUGGGGAUGACGUCAAGUCAUCAUGGCCCUUACGAGUAGGGCUACACACGUGCUACAAUGGCAUAUACAAAGAGAAGCGACCUCGCGAGAGCAAGCGGACCUCACAAAGUAUGUCGUAGUCCGGAUCGGAGUCUGCAACUCGACUCCGUGAAGUCGGAAUCGCUAGUAAUCGUAGAUCAGAAUGCUACGGUGAAUACGUUCCCGGGCCUUGUACACACCGCCCGUCACACCAUGGGAGUGGGUUGCAAAAGAAGUAGGUAGCUUAACCUUCGGGAGGGCGCUUACCACUUUGUGAUUCAUGACUGGGGUGAAGUCGUAACAAGGUAACC